rnacentral:rRNA from 1 species
CCUACGGGAGGCAGCAGUAGGGAAUAUUGCUCAAUGGGGGAAACCCUGAACCAGCAAAGCCGCGUGGAGGAUGACGGUUUUCCGAUUUUUAACUCCUUUUUUUAGAGAAGUUAAUGACCUUAUCUAACGAAUAAUCACCGGCUAACUCCGUUCCAGCAGCCGCAGUAAUACGGAGGGUGCCAGCGUUACUCGGAAUAACUGGGCGUAAAGCGCGCGUAGGCGGUAUAGCAGGUCUGAUGUGAAAUCCUAGGGCUUAACCAGAGCAUUGCAUUUGAAACUGUCGUGCUGGAGUAUGGGGGAGGUAGGCGGAAUUCGUGGGGUAGGGGUGAAAUGCGUAGAGAUCACGAAGAACACCCAUUGCGAAGGCAGCUUGCUAGAACAGAACUGACGCUGAUGCGCGAAAGCGUGGGUAGCAAACAGGAUUAGAUACCCGAGUAGUC